UACAUCAUAAUCUACAUUGUAUCUCGAACAAAUCCCAUAAAUCCGUCAAGGUUGGGAGGAGGUUGUGUUGGUGGUGGUGGAAAAGAAGCUUGUUCAUCACCACUUCCGGGCAAAGCCGAAUCCUCCGCAAGUUCCGCUAUCAUUUCUUCAUAAGCUUCAUCUAUUGUCGGUUGUGAUUCUGCAAUUCCAAAGUUUAUUCUU
rnacentral:lncRNA from 1 species